rnacentral:rRNA from 1 species
GUGGGGAAUAUUGGACAAUGGGGGGAACCCUGAUCCAGCCAUGCCGCGUGUGUGAAGAAGGCCUUUUGGUUGUAAAGCACUUUAAGCGAGGAGGAGGCUACCGAGAUUAAUACUCUUGGAUAGUGGACGUUACUCGCAGAAUAAGCACCGGCUAACUCUGUGCCAGCAGCCGCGGUAAUACAGAGGGUGCAAGCGUUAAUCGGAUUUACUGGGCGUAAAGCGCGCGUAGGUGGCCAAUUAAGUCAAAUGUGAAAUCCCCGAGCUUAACUUGUGAAUUGCAUUCGAUACUGGUUGGCUAGAGUAUGGGAGAGGAUGGUAGAAUUCCAGGUGUAGCGGUGAAAUGCGUAGAGAUCUGGAGGAAUACCGAUGGCGAAGGCAGCCAUCUGGCCUAAUACUGACACUGAGGUGCGAAAGCAUGGGGAGCAAACAGGAUUAGAUACCCGAGUAGUCC